rnacentral:rRNA from 1 species
UGAGUAACUGUGCUCCUAGACUGUUUAGCCGGUUUUCCUUGGUUUGCCUUCACCGGUAGGCCAUGGUGGCUGGCGUGUUUACCUUGAAUAAAUUAGAGUGCUCAAGACAGGCGUUUUGCUUGUAUAUCCGUGCAUGGAAUAAUGGAACAGGACUUCGGUUCAUUCUGUUGGUCUUGGAACCGAUGUAGUGGUUAAGAGGGACUGACGGGGGCAUCCGUAUCGCUGCGUGAGAGGUGAAAUUCUUGGACCGCAGCGGGACGUCCAACUGCGAAAGCAUUUGCCAAGAAUGUCUUCAUUAAUCAAGAACGAAAGUCAGAGGAUCGAAGGCGAUUAGAUACCGCCCUAGUUCUGACCGUAAACGAUGCCAACUAGCGAUCAGGUGCUGAUAGUUUAGUCGCGCCUGGGAGCUUCCCGGAAACGAAAGUCUUCGGGUUCCGGGGGUAGUAUGGUUGCAAAGCUGAAACUUAAAGGAAUUGACGGAAGGGCACCACCAGGAGUGGAGCCUGCGGCUUAAUUUGACUCAACACGGGAAAACUCACCCGGCCCGGACACUAGUAUGAUUGACAGAUUGAUAGUUCUUUCCUGAUUUGGUGGUUGGUGGUGCAUGGCCGUUCUUAGUUGGUGGAGUGAUUUGUCUGGUUUAUUCCGAUAACGAACGAGACUCUAACCUGCUAAAUAGUUUCCCGGUAGCUUAGCCGGCUGAAACUUCUUAGAGGGAUCAGUGG